GGGGGCGACUUGGCUUCGACGCCGGUUGCGAAACCUGAGGUGCAUGUCGAGAGGGUAGUGACUCUCGUUAAACAAUCGCUGUAACUUUUAUAGUUGCCAACGACGAAAACUACGCACUAGCUGCCUAAAAACCCUUUAGGUUAGCUUGACCCGGGGCGGAUUUGCCCAUGAAUCCAAACCGGGUGCACGUCUCAUGGGAUCGCUGCCAGACCCCGCUUGUGGUGGAAGCAGUCAAAACUGAAGCAAGCUCGCCCUUCUACUCCCUGUUCGCCGGGCUAGGGGAGGGUUAAACAAUAGACGAACUAAACAUGUAGAGCUGAGGGCGGAGGGCUGACGGACGCGGGUUCGAUUCCCGCCGCCUCCACCA
rnacentral:tmRNA from 1 species